rnacentral:rRNA from 1 species
AAGACGGCUUCGGCUGUCGCUUUAGGAUUGGCUCGCGGCCUAUCAGCUUGUUGGAGGGGUAACGGCCCACCAAGGCAACGACGGGUAGCUGGUCUGAGAGGACGAUCAGUCACACUGGAACUGAGACACGGUCCAGACACCUACGGGUGGCAGCAGUCGAGAACAAUUCACAAUGGGGGCAACCCUGAUGGUGCAACGCCGCGUGGAGGAUGAAGGCCCUAGGGUCGUAAACUCCUGUCAUCGGAGAGUAAGCUUUGGUCGUUAAUAGCUUCCAAAGUUGAUGGUAUCCGAAGAGGAAGGGACGGCUAACUUCGUGCCAGCAGCCGCGGUAAUACGAAGGUCCCAAGCGUUGUUCGGAAUCACUGGGCGUAAAGAGUAUGUAGGCGGUAUGGAAAGUCAGAUGUGAAAUCUUAGGGCUCAACCCUGAAACUGCAUCCGAUACUCCCGUACUAGAGUAAUGGAGGGGUGACUGGAAUUCUCGGUGUAGCAGUGAAAUGCGUAGAUAUCGAGAGGAACACUCGUGGCGAAGGCGAGUCACUGGACAUUUACUGACGCUGAGAUACGAAGGCCAGGGUAGCGAAAGGGAUUAGAUACCCCUGUAGUC